rnacentral:misc_RNA from 1 species
GAUGAAGAACGUAGCGAAAUGCGAUAAGUAGUGUGAAUUGCAGAAUUCAGUGAAUCAUCGAAUCUUUGAACGCACAUUGCGCCCCUUGGUAUUCCAUGGGGCAUGCCUGUUCGAGCGUCAUUUGUACCUUCAAGCUCUGCUUGGUGUUGGGUGUUUGUCUCGCCUCUGCGUGUAGACUCGCCUCAAAACAAUUGGCAGCCGGCAUAUUGAUUUCGGAGCGCAGUACAUCUCGCGCUUUGCACUCAUAACGACGACGUCCAAAAGUACAUUUUUACACUCUUGACCUCGGAUCAGGUAGGGAUACCCGCUGAACUUAAGCAUAUCAAUAAGCGGAGG